rnacentral:RNase_P_RNA from 1 species
GGAGUCUGCCGGGCAGUCACCAUUCUGAAUUCUAGGUGAAUAUUCAGGGUGGAGGAAAGUCCGGGCUCCGUGGGCAAGGUGCCAGGUAACGCCUGGAGGAUGUGAGUCCAUGGAAAGUGCAGCAGAGAGUAGACCGCCUGUUGACCGUCUGACCUAAAUUCAGGCGCGUGUUUCAGGUAAGGGUGAAACGGCGUGGUAAGAGCACACCGCACAGCUAGUAAUAGUUGUGGCUAGGCAAACCCCACCCGGAGCAAGACCAAAUAGAGGGGCACGGAAUUUUCCAGCAUAUGGCCCAUAUGGCCCCUGGGUAGGUUGCUAGAGGUUCAUGGUGACAUGAAUCCUAGAUGAAUGGCUGUCCUAGACAGAACCCGGCUUACAGGCAGGCUCCAGUC